rnacentral:rRNA from 1 species
UGGGGAAUUUUGGACAAUGGGGGAAACCCUGAUCCAGCCAUCCCGCGUGUGCGAUGAAGGCCUUCGGGUUGUAAAGCACUUUUGGCAGGAAAGAAACGUCGCGGGUUAAUACCCCGCGAAACUGACGGUACCUGCAGAAUAAGCACCGGCUAACUACGUGCCAGCAGCCGCGGUAAUACGUAGGGUGCAAGCGUUAAUCGGAAUUACUGGGCGUAAAGCGUGCGCAGGCGGUUCGGAAAGAAAGAUGUGAAACCCCAGAGCUUAACUUUGGAACUGCAUUUUUAACUACCGGGCUAGAGUGUGUCAGAGGGAGGUGGAAUUCCGCGUGUAGCAGUGAAAUGCGUAGAUAUGCGGAGGAACACCGAUGGCGAAGGCAGCCUCCUGGGAUAACACUGACGCUCAUGCACGAAAGCGUGGGGAGCAAACAGGAUUAGAUACCCUGGUAGUCCACGCCCUAAACGAUGUCAACUAGCUGUUGGGGCCUUCGGGCCUUGGUAGCGCAGCUAACGCGUGAAGUUGACCGCCUGGGGAGUACGGUCGCAAGAUUAAAACUCAAAU